GUGAUGAAAAAGUAACAAAUUUUUGCUUCAUGGUUCAUAGUGACAAAGAGGAUGAACAAGAUGAUGAGCAAGAUGAUGAGGUUUGUUUGAAAGCCUCCAA